UGCCUGCACGCGCCCCCUGUGCGCGGGAUCCGAUGCCAGUUACGCCGCACUUCAGGAGUUUUGUGCAGGUUCCUGUGUUUGCUCGAUUGAUAGCAACUUGAGUGUUGCGUGCGGAGGUGUCAACCCGUACCUGUGCAAGGUAAUCGCUGUGUUUCACCUGGACUAGUAACGUACGUCUCGUGUCCACCGUGUCGCCUGCCCCACGUCUGAGGGAAUUCCUGGUGAAUGGAGGUUUGGAACUUGUCACAGGUGACGGCAUCAACGACAAUCUCACGAAGUUUAUUUUUGAGGUGUUCGGUCCAGCGACCUCAGUCUCGCCAGCGACUCAAGAUGACAUGACGAGUCUGGAACUUUGUCACCUGGCGGUUCUACUGAUGCAGUUUACACCUGUAAUUGAAAAGUGAUUUUUUUAACGUCCAUCAGGUAGCUAGUCUGCGUUUGUUAUUGUUGUUGACACAACAUCUAUUUCUAUGCAAAAGCUUGAUUUUCUAUGCACUAGGAAUUAAUUUUUGUGAGAAGAAUUGCGCGGGAAAGAGACUUGGGUGGUCAGUGUGUCGGCAGGUGCUCGCGUCCUUCUUGUAGACAAGUUCGUUAGUGAGAUGUGGGUCCUAGCAGCAGCCUCCAGCAGGAUAUGAAAACUGUAAACUGGAACCUUGCUCACCCUGCAACAACCCUGCGGUCACGAACAAUAGUUUCAGUUGUGGACAAACCCCGGGGAAGAUCAAUGAAACUGUUUUCAAGUUGGGAGACACCCUCAGGUCACAGUUCACAGGGUGGUCACAAGUCGACCUGACUCCAUGUGAACAACACGCGCUGCUCACCUGCUGCUGCUGUUGGCGAACAAAUAAGCAAUUAGACUUGUGAUGCAUCUUUAAAGGCAUCGAGCGGUGAUCGUCUCUCGUGGAUGAGAUGAGAUGAGUGUCCUCAUCAUCAAGAUGUCAGAUGAGAGAUGCGCGGCGGCUGCGACAGCUGCUGACGCCGGACAGUCUGCAAUUGGACUUCUCUGUGGAAAUGAGAUAAUAGCAGAAGGAUGCGUGUAAACUGAUCCUUGUUUCUUUUCUGAUGGGAACGAAUCUCGAAGGACAUUAAUGACGCACUUCCGGCCGACGGCUUCCGGUUUGUGAAUCCCACAAAGGAACCCGACUUCUGGAAACGGAAACAAGAAGGUCCUUUGAUGUCGGAGGGCGUAAUUGUGAGUGAUGACAGCCUUGGUACAGAGUCCAGCAGUUGUUUCUUCCUUAAUGAGCGCGAUCUGCAUGGCGUGCACAGUUCCAGGUCAUUGCCUGAGCAGACGACAGUGUGUUUGACAAACAUUAACGAGAGCAUCUGCGAUCAUGCAACUGGCAGUUCUGCGUCACUUCCUGCAGAGACGUCAUCAGGCAUGAUUGCAGCAGGAAGGUGCGCGUGUCCUCACCAACCUGCUUUUCUCGACAUCACUGACAACUGCAAUCUGAGAGAAGAAGCUCAUGUGGACGAGUCUUGGCAUGAGGAGCGGGACUGGGUGGCCGGUCCAGCCACAGGUCACACACUCACCUGUGCACCGAGAGGCGACCUGUGGCUGGCAGCGCACGUGCACGAGCCUCGACGUCACAAGAGGUGACCGUGUGCGUGACGCGCCACACAGAAAGUUCCAGAUGUGUCCGUGUGAUGGUCACACACUUCCAUGUUCUCAGCAAGAACUCUCGCAGAAAAGAAAACUCGAAAUUCCAAGUUGCCAUCCAGGCUCCCUGGGAGAUUACGAUGUUCUGUCAUCGCCCUCGGUGAAACGUCAUCGCAUGGAGUGCGCCUGCGCUGCGCUGCAAAGUAACUUCCUGCGCAUGGCAGAAACAGCAUACAGGAGCAUCCGGCGGAAAGAUACUUCAGCGGCCAGUUUCGAGCAGUUCAAGAGGGAACUGACUCAGACAAACUACUUGCUCAAAGAGAGUGCCAGUCUCAUUGCGUGUAUCAAACAGAUGUGUGAGCACUGGGCGCAUCUCCAUGUUCGCCAGCAGGUUUGCCCACCAAGUCACGUGAUCGAGUCCUGUUGUCAGGUAAGACAUCUUGCCAACUAAACAAGGGCCACAAGCUGUUGAUGGAGUACAGUCUCAUGACUGAGAGGACCCAUCCUGUUGGAAUAAUGCCGGCCUAUCGAGAAUUUUUGGACAUGAGUUCGGAAAGACGAUAUGGUAAAAGAAAUGUGCAGUCGAGGAAUAUAUAUGUUCUUUAGAGUUUUAUAUUUUAAAAUAUUUUGUAACAUAUAUGUCUGUGACGUCAGUUGGAACACAAACAAACAAAACACACACACACACACACACACACACAAACACACACACACGCGCGCGUGUUUCUGCUCUUGCUUCUUGUUGUUCGUGAAGUAUUGUACCCACUCGACCAUUCACCGGAGAAAUAUGGUGGAAGGACUUUGGAAGAUAAGGCAACAAGAAGACCUGCGGCAAACAAGCGGCCUAAUUUAUCAGGGUAAUCAGGCUGGCUGUUCUUUGUAGCAGAUUGCAGUCAUCAGUCAAGAUUCGCCGCAGGCCGUCUCUGCUAAGAUAAUAUUGAGAACUCCAUAAGUCCUACUCUUAAAAAUCAAUUCAUCACCGUCUCCCUCCUCGCCUGCUGCAGUCAGUCCUGAUUGCACUUUUUUUCUGCGAGACGUCGGGUUGCAUGAGUGAAGAAAUGUCAUUCAUCUUUAUUUUUAGUUCAAACAAUGUUUGUAGAUAUUAGUGAUAGGUAAACCUCCUGCUUUCUCCAAAUCAAUGGUAAUGUUAUUUCUUGUGUGCUCUUGAAAUGUCAAUGCUGGAAAAGUUAUUUUUAAUCGUACAGUGAAGACACUUCCAGUGAAAACAGUUUAUUUCUUCGUCACUCAGUCCAAUAUGUUCCACUUAGCUCCAAUUUAUAGGUGUUGUCGAAUUGAGAUUUUUAAUAGUGAAAACAAAUUUUUAGCCAGAAUGUAGAUAAUGUACAUUUAAAUUAAGAUUGCAGCACGUGUCUUAACCAACUGACCGUUAGUAAUUUAAGUAUAAAUAUAACUAAUUCAAAAUGUAUCAUUCUCAAAUGACCACCAACACUUUUGUGACAAACGAGGGCGUGUUUCAGUGAAGCAUGACAAACUGCGAGGGUAGAGCAGUGAAGCAUGACACACGUAGCGGGGUAGACAGCGAUGCCAUGUGACACACGGGGUGUGGGGUGUGCGGCAUUAAGCUUGACAAAUGCACCCAGACCACGAUUAAUAGCCCUUGCUGUCCGGCAUCGUGGUGGCACAGCUCCUGAGCAGUUGGUGAAAUGAUGAAUUGGACGAACAUUUGGACUGAGUUUCCCGGAAACGGCAAAUCUCUCAAGUUUUGAGAACCGUUUGUGUUUUCCGUUCAGUUUAUCUGUUCUUUUGUCUUCGAGACUCAGAGGACAGUUGUAGUCAAAUGUGUUUCUUGUGGCGGUGUAACUCUUUCUGGCAGUUUGUUUGUUUGUUGUUGUUGUUGUUGUUGGUUUUCUUUAUUUUAUUAUUUUUUUUUUUGGUAGAAAAGUGCCUUGAAACAGCAGGCUUGCCAACUCGUUCAAUAACCUUUUCCUAAUUAGCGUGUUCUACAGUCAAUUAGUCGAUCACUUGAAAGUAAAUGAAGCAUAUACGAGUAAUAUUGUUUCGUGUCGUGUAGGAAAAUACGAGAAUCAGGUUGGUGCGAUUGGCUAUUCGUGUAUUGUUUCAGUUGUUCUUACGUGGAGCCAUUUUAGAAGUCGGUUAGCUUUGGGAAAAAAAGUAGGCUUGAGGCCACGUGACAGGAAACAUGUGACAAGUCAUGUGACAGGAAAUAAAAGCUGGUAUGGAUUACAGGAACUGGGUAUUAACUGGACGAGAUGGCCGAGAGAGCUCUCUUCAUGAAUAUUUCAAAGUGCAGGCCUCCCUGGACAGACCGUGCGGGAAGGGCUUAUCAUUCAAGCUGACGAAAUGUGCGAUGAAAUCUCUCCCCAGAGGAACGAAACUCCAGUUGUCGAGGUUUUUUUUUUCUUUUUUUUUUUUUCUUUAAGUUUCAGCCCAGCCCUGUGUCUCACUUUCAGCUAAAUGUGGACUGCAUCUACCUUUUCCUUCUUCUUCCUUUCGUUUGAGACAUAAUGCUCAGGAUGUCUUAAUUAUCGUCGGCUACCUCAUCAUGCUCCAUAAUCAUUACCCGGCAUACAUCGGCACAACAAAAGCAGCCGCCGAUGCAUCGUUACGCUUCUAUAUUUAGAGGCUGUUGUACUUCUUAAGGAAUGGGGAGAUGGAGGUAGGGUAGUUGUGUGUGUGGGGGGGGGGGGAUGCUGUGCUGGAGAUUAGAAGCGAGUGGACAGCUUUUUUCCGUCCAUGUUUCUUUCGCGCCAUCUGUCGGUCUUACGCAGAGUAAUCGUUCUUUGGACGAGAGCUUUCGGAAAUGACUGUUAUUGCCUGGUAAUGGCUUGGGCUGAUUGGCUGCAUUUGUUUGUCCGGACUUCUGCGAUCGGCAGCGAGUUGUCAAGCUGGAGCGAGAUGCACUGUGGAAUGUCGCCGUGCCCCAGCUAUUGCCGCCUCCGCCUGCUUGUCACUGCUUUCAUCGCCGCCUGCUUGUCACUGCUUUCAUCGCCUGCUUGUCACUGCUUUCAUCGCCUGCUUGUCACAGCUUUCAUCGCCGCCAGCUUGUCACUGCUGUCAUCGCCGCCUGCUUGUCACAGCUUUCAUCGCCGCCUCCAUCGCUGGCCGCUGUCUAGAAAUAGAGACAUUUUCCUGUAGGUUCUUGUGUGCGUGAUUCUGCUCAAUGAAUAACUGUGAUUGUUGUUGUCCACGACAGAUGAAAGUGGGUGUGGUGACGGAUAGAAUGAAAGGAUAACUGUUGUAUGAUCAGGGAGUAGGGUUUAGCCAUAGACAUGGCAGACCACAUGACCAUGAACCAUAUUACAAUGCUGAUAACUGCAGGCACACGAGGGUUGAACAAGCUUUUGGGUUUAAGAAAGAUGAUAAAGGCGGGUGAAAGGUAAUAACAGCCGAAUUGUAGUAUAGAUGGUCAGUCAACAUUACCAAACACAAGCUGUAAUUACAUUUAAUAUUUCACUACAGUUGUUAUAACCUGACAUCAAGGAUAUGAUAAAACGUCGUCCCAUCAAUGAUGCGAAAAUCAUGAAAGUAAAUAAUGAUGACAAUGUCUCAGUUCUGUUUGUUCCAGACAAACGAGAUGGUGCAGUGGAAAGUCAGACAUGAUGCGCUGUAUUGGUGUCUCUAGAAGAACUAUCAUAACCAGACCAUGUCAUGGCGUAUGUCAAGCAUGUCGAUAAUCUUCUAAACAAACUUGGGAAUGCUAGACCUGUAAGCAUACCUAAUCUUUUACAGUCCUUGAUUAAAAUUAACAGAAAAUUUUCCUCAGUAUCUCUUUCUUUCUGAUUUUCUUUUUCCUACGUAGCCCUCCUCCUUCUAAUGUCUUGUGGAUUUUUGGAGGAUGGAUAGUUGGCAUUGUCUUUGCGUAUCUCUUUGUCUGUCUCUCUGUCUGUGUGUACAAUUAGGGUCUCACAUGUGGGUUCAUGAUAUGCAUUACUUCUUCUAGAAAAUGUCAGUAAAAACUAAGGAAAUUGCCUUCUUUGUUCACCUGCCUUGAAAUGUCCGUCCAAACUUACUCUUCGCCUUGCCUUUCCAUUGCCAUCACGACAUAACAGACUUCAGUGCUGGACAAUACAUAACUGCGAUACCAUGCAGGAUGUAAGCAGAUCCUCGGUCUUUGACUGGGGAGAAGGGAUAUUUGUUGGCAAUAAUCUUGUUUGGAACACGGCGCAAACAGGGAGAUGGAAGUCGAGAGGAAGUGAGUUAUCCCCCAUUCAUCCUGCAAUCUUCGCGCCUUGUCGUAUCAGACUUCGGCCAUUGUCGUUGAUCCUUUAACUUUUCGUCGAACCUUCCUUCUACUGCCCCUCCCUCCCUCCCUCGAUUCUUUCAGCCACCCUCACAUCCCUCACUUCACUCGCGAAUUGCCGUUGGAUUUAUUUGCUCCAUAAUGCGAUUAGGGCUUCGAGUGGUCACGGCCCAUUCCUUGCCUCCAUCAACUGCAGGCACUGGAGCGGAGGGGGAAGCCUGUACAAUCAAUAGAACAGGCAUUGUUCGGAAAAUUGGCUUUACCAGUCUACGACUUCGGCCUUGGCAUCUCUCACAGAGGACUUUUCAAAUCGAUUUCUGUGUCAAACUUUGUGGACGACCAACAGCAUUGAUGGUGUUACUUUAAUUCAAUAGCACAUUGGACAAGAGACCAACAGUAUUGAUGACAUUUAUUACUUCCAGAAUGAAGUGGGGAAGUAUCCGGAGGUGUGUCUCUUUUCAUCCGAGGAAAUGGCAUUGUAUCUCUUUGUAUCGCUUUGACAGUAAAUUUUAAGCAAAUGCGAGGACAAAUGGAUGGUAUUUCCCUCUUAAUAUCGUGAUCAUGGUCAUGAAUUGUUUGAUAGCAUUAGUCUGUAUCCUUAUAGUGUGUCCUUUGUUAAAAUAAUCACAAUUAUUAGCUCUAGCUGGCAAUGUAGACUGCGCAAACAAAAUGUAUUAGCAGCAAAAUGUUGGAUGAAAAUGAAAGUAAGUGCAAAACUGUUGAGAGAUAAACAAAUGUGGAAGCAGCAUUCAUCCUUCCCCACCCAGAACUCUUUAAGAACUCCUUUGCACUAAAUUUGAAAAUGUUUUGUUUAUAAACAGGAGUUAUCGUCGGGAGAAAGAAAAUCUAUAGAUUAACUCACGCAACUGGCAGAAUGCAAACUUGUGAGAUUUCGAACUCUAGCACUUUGUCCUCCCGCUAUUGAACCCUUUCUAGUUCUUUUUAAAGAAAUCAAUCCCUUCGUGACAAAAAAUAUUAUGUUCCUUUUAUGCUGGACACUAUCGCCUGCCACCGGUGUAUUGGCUGCGAGGCCAUUGAUUGGUGGGGUCGAGUUGACGUGGUGUGUGGACUGCUGGACCUGUCUGUCAACCCCACACAGGCAAACACCGUGCUCCUUUUGUAAAGAGAUAAUUGAUUAGUUGUCGCGGAACAAAGGCUCAUGUCACGGCGCUAUUGAUUGGGUGAUGAGUUAGUGCUUUUCGUCAUUAUUCUGGAGUGGGCGAGUGAGAGAAGCUCUUAGAAAACAUAAACUGUUCUUUUCUCCCGGCGUCAGACACACGAGCUCCGUGGGAAGCAGCAGGGUACUGAAGACAUUUGCAUCAGAAACAAGACUUGUUAUUUUUUAUCAUUCGUUUUUUAGUUUUUUGUUUAAAAUUAAAAGGAGUCUCAAAUCUUUUCUCGCUCUCUUCCUCUGUUUGCUAUGAUUAUAUUUCUCAAUUCGCUCAUUUGUUAUUGUACGUGAAUGUUAUAACGAUCAGGACACUUUGUCACACCCUCUCAACCUCUGAAGCAGAAGUGAGUUGAAGUGAGAGUUUAAGGAUAGGGUCCCGGUACAAUAGCUGUGUGAAACAUAACAGGGAGUGUUUGCCGGAGAGGAUGGUUGGGAUACUUUACAUCGUUUAAUAAGCUUUCUAUACGCACGCACUCACGCGCCAAAAGCACAAUAGCAACAUACAAAAGCAAAAAUAAAAAACAAACAAAAAACAAAAACAAAAACAAAACAAGCAAACCAAAAAAAAAAAAAAACAAAAAAACCCCAAACGAACAAAAUAAAAAACCCACACACCCACACAUACAUACAAACACAUACAUCAACAAUACAACACAUAUGCACGUGCGUGCAGAGAUGAAGUGAAAGGAGAGGAAGAGUAAGAUGAAGUUUGUCUGUCUUUGAAGACAUUUAAGUUCAUCUAUCAGUGUAGCACUUUCUAUGUUGUAGAAGACAGCUCGGGAAUUAUCAGCCUUGUAGAAUGUGCAAUUUUAAUUACACUGCAUGUAUCUUACAUGAAAACAUUUUCCCAGCAUACUUCACGGUUCGUGGUACACAAGUGCUGUUGUAGUGGUGGUAGUUGGGUGGCAGCAGACCUGGUCGUUUCCUUGUUGGCGUUGCUAUCAUCGUGUGUGUUCGUGUCUUUUGAAAGUUUCCCAAUCCUUCCCAUCUGACAAGAAUUUCGCGAUGCCAUGUCAUUGUCAUCCACAGCAGACAGACCGAAAACUGUAAUGAGGGAAAACAGAGUUCAAGUCAGAAUUCCCGUUAAAAGAAUUGUAUUUUCUCUCCCAAUGUGUCAGAAGUUGAGAAGUGUUUUGUGUUUUUCUGUAAAUACACAGUGUAUAUAUAUAUAAAUUAUAUAAACUGCUUAAAAAAGAUUUUUUAUUGAGCCUUUCAGUAAAAGUGUACAAGAUAUUGUAGCCCUAAAUUAAUUCGUAAUAAAAGGGUUAGUUUUCUCCGCUAGAUAAUAUUUAAUCCUCCUCCUCCUCCUCCUCCUCCUCCUCCUCCUCUCUCAUCAUCAUCAUCAUCAUCAUCAUCAUCAUCAUCAUCAUCAUCGCAUGCAUAACACAGUGGGGAAAAGUCGAAGAAAAACUUGAAAGAAUAGGGCAAGAACUUGUGUAUUUAGUGAAUGUCCUAGUGUGUGCGCACGUGUUGGUGUUGUUGCUGUGUAAAGCACUGUAGCGGUGGUGCUGUGUACACUAGGCACAGACUGAUAAGUCAGCACGACAGCUCUCUAAAGCGUUUCUGUGGUAUCAGGCAUCGUCAUCAUCAAUGUCCAGUCUUUGUGGUUUGCCCCUCCCACUCCCCCUGUCUCUAUAGUCCAUGCUAAAAGGGAAAGUAGCCUGUGCAACCUGUGACUAACAAGGAUUUUUUUCAUUUCGAUGGAGUCCUGUCUGUGUCACGUGACCUCACGUCAUGGUGUGGACACGGUUAGCGCUGAAGCAACGGAAAAUAGCGGCACAACUCCCACCCCACCCAUCACCAUGUCCCUCCAUGAGUUGUUGUUGUGUGUUUUCUGGUGUCGCACGUCGUUGUCGGUCUCGUAUUCAGCCGUUGGCAAAUAUUUAGAAACCACAUGGACAAGUGUUUGCUAAGUGGUCCGCAGAUCGCAUCUUCCUCGCUGGAGUUUGACAAGCACUCGGCCGUCCCUUCCUGAUGGAAACAUGAAUGAAAUGUUUCUCCCGUGUGUGCACCGUCUGUAAUGAGUUUUGGCAGGGUGUGGACUGUUUUAUUUAAUUCAUUUUGCAAUUCUGUUUUCGUGUUUGAUAUUUGUCCAAAAUGAAAGCGUCUACAUGUUUGGCUUAGACGUGUUGUGUAUAGUCGAAAUGUCUAUGACUCAUCAAACAUAUCCUGUACGUGUCAUGCAUCCCAUGGUGCAUCGGGGAGAACUCGCGCCUAUCGCAUCCGUCCAUUUUGUAUAAAGUUUGCCGGCUUUUGUGCGCCGUGUGUAUGGAGGCUUUUCCAAGUUUAUAUAUUUUCCGCUUUUAAAAUUCUACUGUAUAUAGAAGAUACGCAAUCAUAUCAUCUCCGGGAUGUUCAGAAGAAAACGUUAAGAAUACUGCAAGAGACGAAAAUAUAUUUUCUUCUUGAACAUUUAAUCUUUUAGAGGCCAUGCUUGUCAUGUCUUUCAUUUUUUUUAUCCCUUUCCAUCCAUCUCUCUCUUGUCCACACAUACGCGCACACACAUACAGAGAGAAAAGCAUCCCUCGUGUAAGAUAAUGUAUUUAUAUAUUUGUACAUGCACAGACUUUAAGAGAUUUUCGGCUUUCUUGCUUCAGCCUCAGCGAGAGUGAGGACAGCUCACCAUUUCAAGAAAAUAAAAGCGACGAAAUGUUGCUUCAGUUUUUCUUGACGAACAUGUUUGAAGCAAGUGACAUAAGGUUGUUUACAGAUUAUAAUUUUGCAGGAGUUUCAGUAAACUACAGGAGCAGCUGUACGCAGUGAGUAGCUCGCUCACCGACAGCUGCGGGUCUGUCACGUGACUGUUCUAUGGACAGGGUUUGGUAAUGCAGGUCUAGUCACGUAUUGUGGGUAAUGUAAUGAGAUAGCCUAGCCAUUAAUGCAGGUCUAGUCACGUAUUCUGGGCAAUGUAAUCAGAUAGUCUAGCCACUAAUGCAGGUCUAGUAUCUGGGUUAGGUAAUGACAUAGCCUAGCUGUUGGGCGCUUUUGUGCUGCAAACGGUUGUGGAGGCCAUCUUUAAUAUGCUUAUUUCAGCUUUGCCGUGGUGAAAUAUGAAAAAAAAUAAAAAGCCAGAGAAAAUCUAUAUUUCAAUUUUCCUAAAUCCUGGAUAAUACAACUUAUUUUUGGAUGUGAAGUCGCCGUUUGUUUCUUGCCUUCUCCCAGUGUGUUAAAGUAGGUGAACCAUGAAAUAUGAAACAUGAUUAUUUGCCACAUACCUAUAUUGGCUCUUUCACAUUCAUGCAAUAAAUUCAACAUUGUUUAUUCGUCAUAAAUCUGUAAUAGAUUGACUAUUGACUACUUGUUACAUGCCAGUGACUAACCAUUUUGAGUGGUUCAGUCCGUCUCCAUCACAUCUUGGGUUUAUUUCUGGACAGCAAUACUUUACUUCUGCCUCUGUUUCCUUUAUCUUCUGGUGAAGUAAUGAGGUUUGCCUACAACUGCAACUGCUACAGCUGCACUCCUGCCAGUGGCUGUCACCAAGACUGUCACAACAAGCUGACAGUUCUGUCAAUAAGAGUGUUGUUUAUUAUCUCAGGCUGUCCCAGCUAACCUUUUCAGCAUCUCGGGGGGUCAGAAGCUGGUUAAUAAAUGCCUGACAUGUCCGUGACCUCGGUCUCUUAAGGACUCACAAAAUAAAUAUCAUAAUAUAAAUUUGGCACAAGUAGGUAUCCUGUGAAACUGUCAUGUUUGUACCUGUGCUUUGUCUUUUUCUGUUAAUUCACAUUCAACUUGUUUCUUACCUAUCCUACUCUUUUGAAUUUCCUUCCUGUCCAUAAAAUACAUUCGUAACAUCACACAAAUUAGCCCUCUUUCAAAAAAGAUUAUAUAAAAAAUAUAUCAUCUGUAGGUCCUUUUUGCUUAAUUAACAUUGUCUUACUUUGAUAAUUAAUUUGGCAAUCAUUUCUAUACCUCACCCAUGCUUUAAUGCAAUAUUGUCCAAAGUUCGGCCUUGAUUUACAGAAGAGAAUAUGACAUAUUAAUCAUCGUUAAACAAUAAUGUCAUUGUAAUAAUUAGAUUGUGGUUCUGGUGUGAAAUAUGAUGGGAGUCAAAUGUGUUUUUGUUGUUGGAUUGCUUUCUGCGUGUAGUGCUUGUGUCCUGACAUUGACUUACUGCUGUUGUCGCUUUUAUUUACUGUUGUUCUGCCCUUCUUCAUCAUCGUCACAUUAUGGUAUUGAUCUUACAACAUUGUGAUCAGUGUAGUCGUCAAUCGCUGUUCUCUAGAAAGGUGCACAGCCUGGAGAUGGUAUCAUGUUGUAGUUGAGGUUCACCUUCAGGUGGAGUGUGAGUGUAUUACAGAGGAUUGUUACUUAUAGUGUGCUUUCUAAGUUGUUGUACUUAACAGUUCCUAGCUACACUUUUAUAAAAAUGUCAGGUGUCGUGAUGAGAGACUGCCGAGUGCUGAUUAAACAGAGCAGAGUGUUCAGAUCAUUGCGGGUGUUUCUGUUUUUGUUUUGUUUUUGGUUUGUUUUUGGUUUUGGUUUUGUUUUUUGGUUUUGUUUGUUUGUUUGUUUGUUUGUUUGUUUUGCGUGAAUGCUUUGAAAAUGGAUUUUAUCGACCUUUACACGAGAUAUUAGAUAAACAUUACCUGAAGCUUAUAACAUAAAUUAUGUGUGGAUAGUAUGAUGUCAAGACAGUAACAGGUUAUACAUGUGUCCGAUUGUUAACAUUAUCGCCAUUGUACGACCGCUCUACAACCAGUAGAUGUGAAAUGUGUGUUGACAUAUAUGCCUUGUAACAUAUUUCUUGUUUGUGUAAAGAUGUCUGGGAUUUUAUGCCUAAUGAAGUAUGUUGUCUGUUUCUGGGCUUGUAUGCCCUAUAAACAUUACUGUUUGUGUAAAUGCUUGGCGGUAUUUAUGUCUGACUAAUACGUAUGUCUGUACAGCCGAGCUUAUCAUAGCAAGCUGCUACGUGUGUGUCCAUAACUUAUAGUAUUAUCAAGGUUGAGAAAUAAAUUCUCUUUUUUGUUUUGCUGUUAACUAAUCGCAGCGGUAUUUUGAAACGUUUGAAAGAAAAAAAAAGUUCAAAUAAUAAA